rnacentral:rRNA from 1 species
CCUACGGGAGGCAGCAGUGGGGAAUCUUGCGCAAUGGGCGCAAGCCUGACGCAGCCAUGCCGCGUGAAUGAUGAAGGUCUUAGGAUUGUAAAAUUCUUUCACCGAGGACGAUAAUGACGGUACUCGGAGAAGAAGCCCCGGCUAACUUCGUGCCAGCAGCCGCGGUAAUACGAAGGGGGCUAGCGUUGCUCGGAAUUACUGGGCGUAAAGGGAGCGUAGGCGGAUAGUUUAGUCAGAGGUGAAAGCCCAGGGCUCAACCUUGGAAUUGCCUUUGAUACUGGCUAUCUUGAGUACGGAAGAGGUAUGUGGAACUCCGAGUGUAGAGGUGAAAUUCGUAGAUAUUCGGAAGAACACCAGUGGCGAAGGCGACAUACUGGUCCGUUACUGACGCUGAGGCUCGAAAGCGUGGGGAGCAAACAGGAUUAGAUACCCUGGUAGUCCACGCUGUAAACGAUGAGUGCUAGUUGUCGGCAUGCAUGCAUGUCGGUGACGCAGCUACGACAUAAGUACACUCCGCCGUCGGGGUAGGUACGGUCGGCGAAGAAGUUAAACGUAACGAAAGAAGUUAGACGGCGUGAGACGUGACCGACGGACGACGACGAGGGAGGAGG